UAAGACGGAGGGGGCUAGCGUUGUUCGGAAUGACUGGGCGUAAAGGGCGCGUAGGCGGUUUUUUAAGUUGGGCGUGAAAGCCCCGGGCUUAACCUGGGAACUGCGCUUGAUACUGGAAGACUAGAGGACGAGAGAGGAAAGUGGAAUUCCGAGUGUAGAGGUGAAAUUCGUAGAUAUUCGGAGGAACAUCAGAGGCGAAGGCGGCUUUCUGGCUCGUAUCUGACGCUGAGGCGCGAAAGCGUGGGGAGCAAACAGGAUUAGAUACCCUGGUAGUCCACGCUGUAAACGAUGAGUGCUAGACGUUGGGGGGUUACCCUUCAGUGUCGCAGCUAACGCAUUAAGCACUCCGCCUGGGGAGUACGGUCGCAAGAUUAAAACUCAAAUGAAUUGACGG
rnacentral:rRNA from 1 species